rnacentral:rRNA from 1 species
CCGCCUGGGAAGUACGAGCGCAAGCUUAAAACUCAAAGGAAUAGGCGGGAAUUUGCACAAGCAGUGGAUCAUGUGGUUCAAUUCGACACUGAGCGAGGAACCUCACCAGGGCUUGAAAUUCUAGUGUAAGCCUUAGGAAACUAAGGCCCCCGCAAGGCACUAGGACAGGUGCUGCACGGCUGUCGUCAGCUCGUCAUGUGAAUGGUUUCCUUAAGUGGAUUAACGAGCGCAACCCCUAUUGUCUGUUAUACGUGUCAGACGAGACUGCUCCGGUAACGGAGAGGAAGGUGGGGAUGACGUCAAGUCAGCGUGGCCCUUUGAUGCCCUGGGCUACACACAUGAUACAAUGGGUGUUACAAUGGGUCGCUAAGCCGCGAGGCGGAGCUAAUCCCAUCAAAGGCACCCUCAGUUCGGAUAGGAGGCUGAAACUUGCCUCCUUGAAGCUGGAAUUGCUAGUAAUCGCUGAUCAGAACGCAGCGGUGAAUACGUUCUCAAAUUUUGCACUCACAAUAAAAGCGCCUGGCAGGUUAUAUUUCUAAGCGGUUGAAAUCCGUUCCUCGAAUGUCCGUCAUUCGAGCGUAGCUGAAAACUAGGCUUAAUCCGCGAGGAUUAGGUCGAAGGAGUUGAAAGCAAACAACAGCUUUUCAUUCAAAACGUCUGAUCGAUCUAUGAUUGGCAGUGAGCAUAGAGAAGGUCUGAAAAAAAGACGCGAAAAGAUGUCGGGAAAUGAAAUAUAACUGACCCGGGGAGAUCUGAUGCGGUAUAAGGAUUUGACGCCGCGUCAGAAGUCAGCUAGACUAUAGUAGUAUAAGCAGUAAUGCUUUAUGAAGGGUCUACUCUUAUGUUAAGUCCAGAUUACAUUGUCGGUCUUGUUGAUGGGGAAGGUAGUUUUACUGCUUAUGUCCGUGAUCCGGACAAGGGCGGCAAAACCAAGCGUCGGGUAUAUGUCGAACCAAGGUUCUAUAUUAAAUUAAUAGAGAAGGAUAAAGAUAUCCUCUAUAAAUUAAAAGAUUAUUUUAGGUGUGGUAGUAUAUAUUUCCAGCGUGAUAAAAGACCAAAUCAUCAGCAAUGUUAUCGAUACGAAGUGUUUAAUUGGGGAGAUUUACAGAAAAUAAUUAUCCCGUUCUUCUCUAAGCACAGGUUGAGAUUCGUCUCUAAGAAAAAAGACUUCCAGAUAUUUUGCGAUAUUAUGGAGCGUCUCCAGAAAGGCGAACACAAGACCAUUCAAGGACUGAAAAAUCUUCGCCAGAUUAAAGCGAAGAUGCAUUAGGAGCUCGUCGUAUGCGGGAAAUCCGCAGGUACGAUGGGAACAUCAAUUCUGAAAUCCCAGAAGAUACUUGCCCGUCAACUCAAGGGAGCCGGUAAUACCUGAAGAUCCAUGUUUACACGUGGGGACACGGUAGGAUCGGUAACAGGGAGUAAGUCGUAACAAGGCAAGGCUAGCGGAAGCUGGUCUUGGAUCACCUCCUU